GCCUAAAGCGUCCGUAGCCUGUUCUAUAAGUUUCCGGUUAAAUCCACUAGCUCAACUAGUGGGCUGCCGAAAAUACUGUAGAACUAGGGAGUGGGAGAGGUAGACGGUAUUCGGUAGGAAGGGGUAAAAUCCUUUGAUCUAUCGAGGACCACCUGUGGCGAAGGCGGUCUACCAGAACACGUUCGACGGUGAGGGAUGAAAGCUGGGGGAGCAAACCGGAUUAGAUACCCGGGUAGUCCCAGCCGUAAACGAUGCAGACUCGGUGAUGCCCUGGCUUGUGGCCAGUGCAGUGCCGCAGGGAAGCCGUUAAGUUUGCCGCCUGGGAAGUACGUACGCAAGUAUGAAACUUAAAGGAAUUGGCGGGGGAGCACCACAAGGGGUGAAGCCUGCGGUUCAAUUGGAGUCAACGCCAGAAAUCUUACCCGAAGAGACAGCAGAAUGAAGGUCAAGCUGGAGACUUUACCAGACAAGCUGAGAAGUGGUGCAUGGCCGUCGCCAGCUCGUGCCGUGAGAUGUCCUGUUAAGUCAGGUAACGAGCGAGAUCCCUGCCUCUAGUUGCCACCAUUACUCUCAGGAGUAGUGGGGCGAAUUAGCGGGACCGCCGCAGUUAAUGCGGAGGAAGGAAGGGGCCACGGCAGGUCAGUAUGCCCCGAA
rnacentral:rRNA from 1 species